GCCAUCGUAGCGAAGAUGACAGCAUGUCCGCCUAUGACGCUGAAAGCCUGGGUUCGAAUCCCAGCGAGAGCA
rnacentral:tRNA from 1 species